GAAUUGAAUAAAAUUCAAUAAAGUAAAAAAAAAAAAAUGAUCCAGCAGCAUAGGAUUUGGCAUCAGAAAGCAAAAUCUUUAAAUACCAGUUGGUUACUAUGAUAUUCCAAUAUGUAUUUAUUAUAAGCCAAUUCUGAUGGCUACAUAACCAAAAUUACUAGAUUUAUAUUCGCUAAUGGUUGCACAAUAGGAAAAACCUGUGUGUGUGUUUUUAUCUUUCUUUUCCUGUCCCAAAUAACCCUUCCAUAUACAGUCUCUGUUUUUCUAGGAACCCCUGUCUGGGUUUAAUCAGAGGCUGCAAGACAAAAUGUGCAUUAUUAAGAAAUAUAAAUAUUUUCAGAAGCAAUCAAAGGGAUGAAAGAUUGAUUCGGCAUGUAGAUUGGACCUAAUUCGAAGCAGCUUUGUUCUAAUGAGGACUACUGGGAUACAAAGACAGAAGCUGCUUGUGACUACCAGUUGGAAAUUCUUACUUAUUACAAUAACCUGUCAGAAUUUCUUUUCUCAGGUGUGUCAAAAUGCAGCCACUGGUGAGAAUUUUAGUGAGUUCUCUAGUGACUGGGCUAAUCUCAUCUAUUUCUUUAUUCCUAGAAAUUUGAACAACUGUAUUUGAUAAAUUAUUAUUAAUUCUUCUUCUUAUUCCGAGUUUAAGCCAAUGAAUACCUGCCUACUUUAGUUCCAGAAUUGGCUUAGCAUUCAUUUUCCAAAGAAUAUUUUGACCUGAAGGCAUCUGUAUUACAAUUUAUUUCUUGGCCUAAUGAAAGAUAUUGUGUUAUCUACCUGGUCAAUCUACAUUGGCUUUCCUAACAGAAACAUAGAAAGCUUAAUAAGUAUAUCUGUUUUAAAAACAAAGGAUUGUCUCAUUUAGGAUGUACUUUGAAAUUUCCUGGCAAGGCUCUUUGGCCAUUACUUGGAGACAGGUAUCAUCGAUAUGGGAUCCAUAUGAGGCAGGGAAGUUUUGAUAAAAUACUGGAUAUAUGAUCAGAAUUUUGAUAUAGAUAAAAUCAAACCCUGAUCGUGGUGUUUUUCUCUUUUUUUAUUCCACUUUUUGUCCACACAGGCAUGUAAGAGAGAUGGCUUGAUUUUUCUGAAAUGGUUCACCCAUCCACAGCUGGAAUUCCAAAGUGAAAUGAAAAUGCCUUUAAAAUCAACACUACACGGGAGCCUGAGAGAACAAGUUUUCCUUUGUUGUAGGAUGAUAAAUCUGAGAAGUUAAGGGACUUGUUCAAGGUCAUGCAGCUAGGCAUUAUCAAAGGUUGGAACCCAAGUCUUUUGUUACUCCAGAUCCAAUCCUACUGCACCCUGCUGACAAAGUUAAUCCCUUCAGGACCUAUUUGAAGUCAUCUAACUCAAACUAAAUGUAGAACAAGAUAAAAUAACCUUAAGGUGUGAUUCAGUUUAGGCAAGAUACAAAGAAGAGUCAAAUGUAACUUAGUGGAUAGAGAACUGGCCUCAAAUACAGGAAAGACCUGAAUUCAAGUCCUGACUGACAUAGACUACUGUAUGAGUUUAGCAGCUGCCUGCGUAUCCCACUGUAAGUCAUGAUGAAGUAAAUUGGAGCUCUAAAAACAGAUGUACUGAAGUGCUUCAAGAAGAUUCAAGCAAAUGAGACUCAGAAUUCACAUCUAUCUGUGAGAUUUUUCUGUACCUGAGGAUACAAUUCAUCUGGGCCAAGUAAUGAAAAUAAUUGUCAACAGCAGCACAACUCCAGUCAUCGGGAUCUCCAAAUACUCAAGGGCCACUAUAAAAGGCCAUAGAAUGGGAAUAGAAGACAAGAGGUGGCCAGUGUGAUUCUAAUUGCUGAUUGUGCAAAGAUGCCCUUGAUAAACCUGAUUACUUCAGCCUGUACUUGUUAAGGGACAGGCAAGAAGAAAGAAUCUGUAGGUCUGAUCCUUCUGAGUAAGCUACUUGCUGGAAUAACAUUUAAUAAAUUACUCUGAUGAAUAAAUGAUGGCUUAGAGACCUGUAAGAAUGAAUGGUCUUUCAGAAGUCCCUGGUUUCUUGGAUUAGUCAAUUGGCAGUCUUCUUUAUACCACAACUAUGUAUUUUGGUGGGCCAAGGGAAGAGGUAAUGAGGAUAAGUAUUGAUGAAGUGCCUACUCUAUGCCAGGCAGUGAACUAAUUAUCUCCUUUAAACCUUAUAGCAACCCUGUGAGUUUUGGGAAUGAUAAUGAUCAAUUUUGUGUUUGAAUAGUCCAAAUUUACACCCCUGGGGGAAAAGAUAGGAACCUUGUCUUCCUUGUCUAGUAACCUGUUUUACUAAUCUUACAAGCAUAGUGGAAGGGCCUCUUCUCAGACUGGUAAGAUGAGACUAUUCUUAGGUUUAUGAAUGAUUGCAGCUGGUUUUGAGAACUAAUAAUACAUUUUAUUAUAUUUUUUCCAUGAGCUUUUCAAAUGGUGACCUUAACCUAAAACAUCAAAAAGUGGAAAUUAAAUCCUUCAGAAGUUUACUUAGACAGCAUCAAGCUUUUGAUGAAAUGAAUAAAAGAGGGAAAAAUAAUGCCUAAUACAAAAGAAUCAGGAAUGAUAUGUUGAUUCAAAAAGGAAGUAUGUUUUUAUUAAUAAAUUUGGAAAGAAAUUACCUUAAUUUCUUUCUGCCUAACCUAUUUUUAUUUAAAGAAGAGAACCUUGAACAUGAGUCAUUUAUGCAAGUCACAAAUAACUUAAACUUUGUGUAUUCCAUAUAAGCCCCAGUAACUACAGAAUUUCUUUACUGACUAUUUGUUACCCACAAAACAGCAACAAUUUAUACCAAACGGGCAAGGGAAAAAGCAAAUGGAAAGAUACAGUGAAUGAUAAAAAGGUAACACUUUACUGUAACAGAUGCUUCAUUUUAUGAUGGAAGUGGGGAAGUCGAAUGCUGCAGGUGCUGGGCUGACAUUAGCUCUGUGGAGAAUCAUUAGAGCCUCCUCAGAGAUCUAGGUUUACUCUGUGUUUAAUCAGCCACAGUCAGAAGAAAUGGCUUCAUUUCAGCUUGAUGAGAGCCAGAUUACAAAAGGAAGAUAGAUGGCCAAUAAGGUUCAUCACUAUAAGCAUAUUGUCUUAAUUUGAAGGAACAGCCUGGCAUCUUGUGCUAAGGAAGAAGUAAAAAGCAAUCUGACUACCAUCAACAACCAGUUAUUUUAAGUCUCUAUGUAUCCUGUAAUGAAAAGUGCUCAUGUGUUCUUUUAAUUAAUAUUUUAUGAAAAGUAUGAACCACACAGCAUUAGCCAAAGCAUUUAGGAGAUUCUACUGUUUCAGGUUCAGAGCAAUGGUACUGCCCAACUUAAAAUCUUGAAUUUUUCCUACCAGAGACUUUUUAGGAGAAGGCUGAUUUAAAUGUUUAAAAAAUAAUUUAUGAAGAGCUCUUCUACUGGUUGAUUUUGAUUAUCUUGUAAAGUAGUUGACAUAUCUAUCUCUGUCUUGCUAUAUUCUUUGGUUGACUCUAUUUCUUCCUUACCCUCUUAAUGUAGGGAGCUUCUCACAAUCAGUUGCUGCCUUUCCCAAUUCUCUUGACAUUAAAUUCUCAGUUCUUGAAUUAAUUUGGGACAUUAAGUACAUAUUCACUUUAGGCCCAACUAGCUUUUCUGCUUUUUCCAAAACAUCAGAAAAAAUUAAUUUUCAGCUUUAAGAAGAGCAAUGAAAUAUAUUUGAUCCCAGUAUCUUUGCCAGACACUUCUUCCUUGAACUAAGAGUAGAUAAUGACUAGUUUGGGUGGUUACAAACAAGUGGAUGUUUCUAUACAAUUUGCUAUGUUACAUCCGUGUUUUCAUUCAGUCCCUUGAAACCCUGCACAAAGAGCUCUGACUUUCUUCCCAAUAACUAUUUUCCAGAUGCACUGAAACAACAUCAAGUGACCCACUUCCCCCCAAGAGAUUUAUAAAGAAGCAUUUAUACAGAGACUUACUGAGUGAGACAGAGAAUCUUGCCUGGCAGCUUAGUCCUAGAUAAUCUCACAUGAACACAGUAUUGAAUCUUACUUUUCCUAAGGCAUAUUGAGUACGAUUUUUAGAAAACGAUAUGCUAAACACUCCUGAAGUGGAGAGGAGAUUUAAGCAGCUUAACAAUUGGUAGAAAUAUUAUCAUCCUCCAUCAGGGUAAUAGUAUCCAGUCUUUCCCCACCCACAGGCACUCAUGCAGGCAGACUUGAUUUAGGCUUAAGAAGGUACAAACAACUUUCUGGAAGUGUGUGGUCCUAAGAGCAUUUAAACAUUUCCAACUCAGGUGAAAUGAUUUGUUUUUUGCAUAUAAUCUAAACAUUAGCCACCUGGUUGGAAGACUGAGUGUAAUAAAAACUAAAACAGAAUCUCACUAAUACUAAUAAUGAAUGUGACAUUAAAAAAUUCCAAGCCUUCCCUAAAAACAUUUGUGUAAAAGCAAUCCUGUUGCUUCAAAGAAAAGGGAGGGGGAGGAGAAAAAGUCACCAUUUCUAGACACUGGUACACUGAUACAAACUACCACUAAUGCCCAUCCUGAGAUCUGGGAUCUGAACACAGUUCCUUUGCCUAUGUAAUAAAGGCAAGGUAUUUCUAUCGGAGAAACAAUGUGUGGUCUUGUAUUCAUUCAUAUUAAAAGAGCCACCAAUUAGUUCCUACCAAUGAUGGGCAUCAGAGAUCAUGUUGAAAUAUGGCAAGGCAGUUGCAUAAUGCUUCUACAGCACAUCUGCUAUGUGUGGAAGGCACUUAAUAGAAUAGAUUUUUUUUUUCUCUAGCAAGCCACAUGCCAAAGUCUUGAUGUGAAAAGUACUUAAUGUUCUAUAGUAUGUCAAUCACUUGAUGGUUGCCAGUGCAAAAUGAACAUUCUUCAUGGGAUGGCUUCCAUUAUUACUGGCACCAAAAUCUAGGGAAAUAUUCCUGUUUAGGUGCUUUACACAUGAAAGAGAAAGUGAACACAAGUUCUUCCUUGUGGCAUAUCUUGGACAGUUAGCAGUGAUGCACUCUUUAGCAGUCCAUUACACAUGGAACCAUGUUACACUGCUAACAUCACUGGCUAGUCAAUUGAAUCUUCACUCAAUUGAGAAAAACAAAUUUCUCCAUUUCUGGGAAGACUCAGAAGUAAUACUAAUGAAAAAAAAAAUUUGUUUGUUUGUGGUCCAGAUUUUGGAAUUAGUUAUAUCUAAAAUUUUUGAAGCUGAUUUAAAUGAAUUAAAACAAAAUAUACUACUCAUAAGAGCAUGGGAUUUGGAAAUCUGAUGAUGAAUGCAGAUUUUUAUCCUGAUUGUGAUGGGGAGUAAUAUUCAAAAAUCCAUAUGCUAUGUGGUACUCUUAAACCCUGCAAAUGAUCUGCUUAUUGUUAAAAGCAUGAAUUUCAUUACCCUUAUCUUAACAUCCAUAACCACCAAUGAUGUUAUUGGUCAUAAAAUUAGCCACUUCCGCUGACUUCAAAUCCACUGACAGUCUUGGGGUAGUUUGAGUUUAGUGGAUUGGACAAGGGGAAAUGGGCCAUUUCCUUUGCCUCCCAUACAGUUAAUCUCCCAUUCUAAAAACUGCUACAUCAUCUCUUCCAAAGAAGUCUUUAUUUCUAAUUACAAGAAUACCACCAACAAAGAUGUUUUAAGUUUUGUUUUUAGAAUGUUCUAUCAAAAGAUAAAGUAAGAAAUGUUUUCCUGGGUUAGAAGAGGCUUAAUUUUUCUCUAGAUGUUAUUCAGUUUCACCAGCUAACAUAAUCUAUUUCUGAUCCAUAUGGUUGACAAGAAGAUUGUGUGUGUGUGCACACAAACAAAGCUAUCAGGUAGGUAAUAAGGUACUGAAUGUUAGGUAGAACUUAGCCAAGGUCAACUUGACAUACCAGGCUCCUUACCCUUUGUUCAACAUUCUGGGCACUUAUCUCCACCUUGCCCUUCCCCCACCUGCCAACCAUUAAGAAACUAAAUUGUUGACACUUCUGGGUUUUGCUUAAGUUUGCUCCUGAUAACUGAGUUAUUGAACAAGCAAGCUAUUGCCCAGCCUCUUCUAAUGAUGUGGGUCACCCUGAAAGUUGUACUUAAGUUCUAGCAUUUCAUUUCUGAGCUCAUUCGUCCAGAAUCCUCAGAAUUGUUUCCCAUCUGCCCAUGAAAUUGCUUGGACUGCCUAAAUAAUUAUGCUACCUACAGAAAUGAGUUACUGGCUUUAUCAAUACCAAAAAGCCUGUCUGAACAAUACAUUUAUUCAGCAAAUGUUUUAUUUGGUAUAAUUUUAACUAUGAACAUGUAAUUUCAGCGGCAAAUGUUUCCAAAAGGAGACAUUUGCAAACUUAUGGGGAAAAAACAAGGUGGCUGCAAAGAUGUCAACAAUAUUCCAGAAUUUUUUUUAAAAUAGAUGUGCCCAGAUUUCCCCUGCUUGAAUGGAAAAAGAAGACUAAUAUAAUGAUAGGUAUAUAUGUGCAUAGCCUCUCCUCAUACAGCACUAAUAUGUAGAAGAUUACACAGAUUGUGAUAUGAUGUGGGUGGGGGGAGAAAGGAAGAUUUAGCUUCUUUGAUUUCAAAAGCCAUUGUGAGAAAAAUUGGAGUAUUUUCCCCAUCCCAUCCCAAUCUUGAGAAACAGAGAUUUUCCUUUUUAAAUCUCCUCUGUAGGAAACAGUUAUGCUCACUUAAAACUAUUUUCCUUUGCAAUAGCUUAUGUGGACAGGCAUCUGUGAACAUCCUCUUGAGAGUCAGAAAGAUACCUGUGAGGAGAAUGAGUCACAAGUUUUUAGGAAAUCCAGAUUGGCACAUUGUACCUCCAUGCUCUUCCCCCAGGCUAUAAGCUCAACAAAAGCACAAUAUUCCCGCAAGCAAAAUUUGAUAAGAAUGUGAGGGCCUCCACACUUGGAAACACAUGUAUUAACAUGUCUACUAACCUUCCAAACAUAUUAAAAAGAGGGAGAUUUUAGCUGUAAGUCAUCACUUUGACUACAGCUGCCACUUUAGUUUUUAACAUCUCUAUUUCUUUUUCUGGUCCUGUUAAGUGUUACCUUAUUUCUUUGCUAGGAACAGGGGAAACAGGACUAGUAAUUUAUGACUCCUAUUAAUAUGGUAGGCUGGAUGUGUUGACAAUACGUCAAUAAUUAUAUCUGGCAGGACCCUAACAGCAGGGUAAGGGUCUCUAUAGAAUGACUUAUUUUAACACAAGACAGAUAUGCCUGACCUGAGUUUUAUGACAGAUGUCAAAUAUAUCGAAGUGUGGUGUGAAGAAGAUCGUCUUAUUGGCAAAGUAAUGAAAGACCACUGGAAAGAUUAAUGUUAACUCUGAUUCCUGUUGUUUCUUGUUUCUUUCUGCAGGUGUUAGAGUAAAUAUAAGGUUCUCUGCUUUGGGCUGAUGGUAAUUUGGAAGUGAAAACAUAGUCAUGUGAGUUUUAGAGCCACCAAUCAUUAUCAAGAAAAGAAUGAAACUCAACGCCUGACAAGAAGAUGUGCUCUGAAGCAGCAUAAUAUUCAAUUUAUUUCCAAGGCUACUGAUUUAGGAAGAAAAAGGAGAAUAAGUGGAAUAAUUAAUUUCCUACCUUGAAGUGUCAUUGGGAUCUACCUCUGGGCAGAAACUGAGAAGUUGGUCUAUGCAAAGGAAACCUAUUCUUAGACUGUCUCUGGCUUUAUUGAAAGCAACUUUUAAAAUGCAAGAGCACUUUGUUGAACGACAGCUGGAUGGAAAUGUUGUCUGUCAAAGAUAAAAAGAAAUGGGUACUAAGGCUGCUAAUCUAUAAAUCUAGAUGGGGUAUCCAAGAUGUACACACAGACAUAUGUUUGAUAUGGGUAAACUUUAAACAGGUAGUGAUUGAACAUUAGGUAAAAUAUGUCAAGUUUUCCAUUCAGUGAUAUAUUCAAUACAGCCUCAUAAAUGCACCUAUCAUUUGGGAAUUCUACAAGGAAAUCAAUAGCAAGAAAAUGUUCACAAAUUCUCAAAAUAUGUCAAAAAACUAUGUCAUCCUAAAUGAAGGAUGGUGGAACCAUGCUUAACAUUUAUUUAUUUAUUUAUUUAUUUUAUUUUAUUUUUUUAUUUAA